CCGUCAUAUUUUUUUACCUACGGGAACACCAAAACACUGAUGUCAUUUCACGAAGUUCCAGACCUUCAAUUCUUGUUACAAUUUGGUGCUUUAGAAGGAGAUGGAGCAUAGACAUCGAACAUGUGUUAGACAAGAACAACACAAAUGAUGUUCAAUAUCCGGCAGUCUUUAUACUUACGUCGCGAGUGAAAAAACUUACCCGAAUGUGGAAUUCACAAUAGUGAAAAUAAUAGAAAACUAAGCUAAAUAGUUAAUUUGUAACCAAAUCUAUAUAAAAUGGAGUUAAACGAUGUUAUAGUGAAUCAACCCGUCGUUAUCGAUAAUGGCUCCGGAGUGAUCAAAGCGGGCUUCGCCGGUGACCAAAUACCGAAAUGCAGGUUCCCGAAUUAUAUCGGACGACCGAAACACGUCCGCGUGAUGGCAGGAGCGUUAGAAGGAGAGCUGUUUGUGGGUCCCCGGGCUGAAGAGCACCGAGGCCUGCUCAGCAUCAAGUACCCCAUGGAACACGGCAUCGUCACAGACUGGAAUGAUAUGGAACGAGUGUGGAAUUAUAUCUACAGUAAGGAUCAGCUGUCCACAUUCUCGGAGGAGCACCCUGUCCUGCUGACGGAGGCGCCGCUGAACCCUCGCCACAACCGGGAGAAGGCGGCCGAAGUGUUCUUCGAGACCUUCAACGUGCCCGCUCUGUUCCUCUCCAUGCAGGCCGUGCUAAGUUUAUACGCGACAGGUCGCACUACCGGCGUGGUCCUGGACUCGGGCGAUGGCGUCACUCACUCCGUACCCAUAUACGAGGGCUUCGCGAUGCCGCACAGCAUCAUGAGGGUCGACGUCGCCGGCAGGGACGUCACACGAUAUCUCAGACUCCUCCUCCGCAAAGAGGGGGUGAACCUCCGCACGUCCGCGGAGCUGGAGAUAGUGAAGUGCAUCAAGGAGCGCGCCUGCUACCUGUCUCCCAACCCCCUCAAGGAAGAGACCCUGGAGACUGAGAAGGCGCAGUACACGCUGCCCGAUGGAACUGGCUUGGAGAUUGGACCAGCCAGGUUCAGAGCACCAGAAGUAUUGUUCAGACCAGAUCUCAUCGGUGAAGAGUGCGAAGGCCUCCACGAAGUCCUGAUGUUCGCAAUCCAGAAGUCAGACAUGGACCUUCGUAAGGUGUUGUACCAGAACAUAGUCCUGAGCGGCGGCUCCACGCUGUUCCGCGGCUUCGGGGACCGGCUGCUGGCCGAGAUCAGGAGGCUCGCGCCCAAGGAUAUGAAGAUCAGGAUCUCAGCGCCACAAGAGCGACUCUACUCAACAUGGAUCGGGGGUUCCAUUCUCGCCUCCCUCGACACUUUCCGCAAAAUGUGGGUCUCCAAGCGGGAGUACGAGGAGGAGGGACACAGGGCCGUCCAUCGCAAGACCUUCUAGAAGAUUCUAGAAGGUGCUGGAAUGUUCGAGAAGCUUCUAGGUAUUUGUACGAUUUGGCACGCCGGCAAUAGAACUGCAAACCGAGCCUGAAGUCCGAUUGCUGUUCAAUUGCAGUUGGCGUGCAAUUGAAGUGCAAUUUGCGGUUAGAUUGCAGUUAAAAUGCGGUCUCGCUGUCUAAAGUCUUAGCGUUAUUUUUUAAGUUAGAUACACACAGCCUAUAUAAUGAAGUCUUUAAAUUUUUAGAUAGAGAUGCAGCUAUACAGACAGAUAGCGCUGUCUCUUGCAUAAAGCUCUUUAUACAAGUGUCGACUGUCAUAUAAAUUCUAUAUGUGUGUAUUUCACGCAAUGGUUUCUUAUGUAGUCGGGUAAAAGCCCCAAUUCAGCUAUUUACAAUGGCCGAUGAACGGAAAUAGGUUUAAAAUGACACUAUUCGUAUUAUUUUAAGCAUUUUUACACAGUAAUUGGAAAUUCAGUACGGUCAAUACAGUGAAUUUCCAAUAAUUGUGUUAGCCAAAUGACUGCACGGAAAACCGAGUGUUUGAGGUCACCACGCGUCGUGUCGCGGCUUCGAACCCCUCGUAGGACACGUAUUUAUGUUCCUAAUCCACGAAUGCUUGUCCUGAGUCCGGGUGUCUUUGUGCAUGUGAUUUAUAUGUUCGCUACACAAGGAUUAAAUUCCUAAGUGCACGAGUCGUAUUAUAAAAAAAAAAUACUUAAGAGAAUAGUAAUUGUUUCAAAUUUAAUCCAAUUUCCAUUCAUUCAUCGGCCAUUGCAAAUAGCAGAAUUGGGACCCUGAUGCCUCUGUUAUAAAGGGCUUUAGUGAUAUCUAAAACUAUAAUAUCACAUAUAAAUCUGUGUUUUAUUUGUAAAGACAAUAUAAUUCCAAUAAUAAAUAUCAUUUAAAAUUAAUAUGACUAAGGGCCGAUUUUUCAAUCGCCGGAUAACUUUUAUUCGACGAAUAUAUUUGACGCUUUGACAGCUUUUGUAUAGAAAAUAUGUCAAACGGCCAUGUUUAUUCCUCAGAUAAAAGUUAUCUGACGAUUGAGAGAUCGGGCCUUAGUCGUUCGCAUUUUUUGAAUACCUCACGCUUAUAGUGAAAUGCAUUUUUGUAAUUUGAGUUUCAGUUGAAUAUAACAGUAUUUUUUUGUUAAUUUGUAUAAAUUAACUUAUGUUUGAUAUGGCGGAUAGCAGAGCGGUUGAGGUUACCACACUGAACCCUUUUUGCGUGUCGCGGGUUCGAUCGUCAAGCAUUUGUGUGAUCCACGAAUGCUUGUCCUGAGUCUGGGUGUCUUGUGCAUGUGACGCGAAAUAAGGAUUGAGUUUCAGGACAA